AUUGAACGCUGGCGGCAGGCUUAACACAUGCAAGUCGAGCGGAGAUGAGGUGCUUGCACCUUAUCUUAGCGGCGGACGGGUGAGUAAUGCUUAGGAAUCUGCCUAUUAGUGGGGGACAACAUUCCGAAAGGAAUGCUAAUACCGCAUACGUCCUACGGGAGAAAGCAGGGGAUCUUCGGACCUUGCGCUAAUAGAUGAGCCUAAGUCGGAUUAGCUAGUUGGUGGGGUAAAGGCCUACCAAGGCGACGAUCUGUAGCGGGUCUGAGAGGAUGAUCCGACACGCUGGGACUGAGACACGGCCCAGACUCCUACGGGAGGCAGCAGUGGGGAAUAUUGGACAAUGGGGGGAAACCCUGAUCCAGCCAUGCCGCGUGUGUGAAGAAGGCCUUAUGGUUGUAAAGCACUUUAAGCGAGGAGGAGGCUACUGAGACUAAUACUCUUGGAUAGUGGACGUUACUCGCAGAAUAAGCACCGGCUAACUCUGUGCCAGCAGCCGCCGUAAUAC
rnacentral:rRNA from 1 species